UGCAAAUUUGGAAUCUGUAUGUAUGUAUAAAGUUGCUGUUGACAUGGUUCUAGUAGUUACAGGAGUGUUGCCAUGGUGACUGGCAGGGCCAGCUGUUGUUUCAUUUCCCCCAAAGAAUUGUAUGGUAAUAAUAGACCCCUGGAGAGUCCUCCUGGGACAAGGAAUGAUGUUAAAAAUCUGCCAAUUAAUGAACAGUGGCUGACUCUGAAUUUGUUAAAUAAAUGAACUAGCAAGUAAAACCUCCGAAAUCUCAACAUCUGCCCUGGGGGAAAAGCUUAUGCUUUGCAAGGUGCAAACAGACUGUUCGAUGAGAUUGGAAAACUAGAAGCUAUUAUGCAAGUUGGAGAAAUACCAGAAGAACCUUUUAAAUGGAAAACAGGGACCAAGAGAGAUUGUAUAGAGGAGAACGUGAGAGGAAGAAACACAGGAGUGGUUGUGGAUCUGUGAGGGGAUGAGGGAAACUGUCUUAGGAGAUCCAGUGAUAAAUCCAUAGCUCUCUGUUCUAAGCACAUUAAGUGUGUGAAGUCAUUAACCCUCACAGUUACACUAUG
rnacentral:lncRNA from 1 species